GUGCCAGCCGCCGCGGUAAGACAGAGGCCUCAAGCGUUAGGCGGAAUCACUGGGCUUAAAGCGUGUGUAGGCGGAUCGUUAAGUACCUUGUGAAAUCCCACGGCUCACCCGUGGAACUGCUGGGUAUACUGGCGGUCUUGGGCCAACUAGGGGCAGCUGGAACAAGCGGUGGAGCGGUGAAAUGCGUAGAUAUCGCUUGGAACGCCGAAGGUGAAAACAGGCUGCUGGGGUUGUGCCGACGCUGAGACACGAAAGCCAGGGGAGCAAACGGGAUUAGAUACCCGUGUAGUCC
rnacentral:rRNA from 1 species